UACGUAGGGGGCGAGCGUUGUCCGGAAUUAUUGGGCGUAAAGAGCUCGUAGGCGGCUUAGUAAGUCGGCGGUGAAAUACCGAGGCUCAACCUCGGCACUGCCGUCGAUACUGCUAUGGCUAGAGUUUGGUAGAGGAGAACGGAAUUCCUGGUGUAGCGGUGAAAUGCGCAGAUAUCAGGAGGAACACCGGUGGCGAAGGCGGUUCUCUGGGCAUUACCUGACGCUGAGGAGCGAAAGCGUGGGGAGCGAACAGG
rnacentral:rRNA from 1 species